rnacentral:lncRNA from 1 species
CUUCGCCCCUACACACAAAAGACCACCUUUAUUUUCCUGCAUCUUUCUAUUCUCGUAUUUACCGCUUUCCUUAGGAGUAGUUCCUAUAAUUUAGCAUACACGGAGUCUGUCUGCUCUAUGGGCAUCACUCCCCUGUUCUCAUACUUAGAGUCUGUCUGCCCUACGGGCAUCACUCCCCUGUUCUUGUACUUUUUUCCAUUUGCUAUUCAAUAGAAAGUCAUUUUCGGCUCUUCUCGCCGAUCAGAUCUC